rnacentral:rRNA from 1 species
AUUGAACGCUGGCGGCAGGCCUAACACAUGCAAGUCGAGCGGAUGAAGGGAGCUUGCUCCUGGAUUCAGCGGCGGACGGGUGAGUAAUGCCUAGGAAUCUGCCUGGUAGUGGGGGAUAACGUCCGGAAACGGGCGCUAAUACCGCAUACGUCCUGAGGGAGAAAGUGGGGGAUCUUCGGACCUCACGCUAUCAGAUGAGCCUAGGUCGGAUUAGCUAGUUGGUGGGGUAAAGGCCUACCAAGGCGACGAUCCGUAACUGGUCUGAGAGGAUGAUCAGUCACACUGGAACUGAGACACGGUCCAGACUCCUACGGGAGGCAGCAGUGGGGAAUAUUGGACAAUGGGCGAAAGCCUGAUCCAGCCAUGCCGCGUGUGUGAAGAAGGUCUUCGGAUUGUAAAGCACUUUAAUUUGGGAGGAAGGGCAGUAAGUUAAUACCUUGCUAUUUUGACGUUACCAAAAGAAUAAGCACCGGCUAACUUCGUG